rnacentral:rRNA from 1 species
UAUGGGAAUCGAUUUAGCCAUGCUAGUUGCACGAGUUCAGACUCGUAGCAUAUAGCUCAGUAACACGUGGCCAAACUACCCUACAGACCGCGAUAACCUCGGGAAACUGAGGCCAAUAGCGGAUAUAACUCUCAGACUGGAGUGUCGAGAGUUAGAAACGUUCCGGCGCUGUAGGAUGUGGCUGCGGCCGAUUAGGUAGAUGGUGGGGUAACGGCCCACCAUGCCGAUAAUCGGUACAGGUUGUGAGAGCAAGAGCCUGGAGACGGUAUCUGAGACAAGAUACCGGGCCCUACGGGGCGCAGCAGGCGCGAAACCUUUACACUGCACGACAGUGCGAUAGGGGGACUCCGAGUGUGAGGGCAUAUAGCCCUCGCUUUUCUGAACCGUAAGGUGGUUCAGGAACAAGGACUGGGCAAGACCGGUGCCAGCCGCCGCGGUAAUACCGGCAGUCCAAGUGAUGGCCGAUAUUAUUGGGCCUAAAGCGUCCGUAGCUUGCUGUGUAAGUCCAUUGGGAAAUCGACCAGCUCAACUGGUCGGCGUCCGGUGGAAACUACACAGCUUGGGGCCGGAAGACUCAACGGGUACGUCCGGGGUAGGAGUGAAAUCCUGUAAUCCUGGACGGACCACCAAUGGGGAAACCACGUUGAGAGACCGGACCCGACAGUGAGGGACGAAAGCUAGGGUCUCGAACCGGAUUAGA